UACGGAGGGUGCAAGCGUUAAUCGGAAUCACUGGGCGUAAAGCGCGCGUAGGUGGCUAUUUAAGUCAGAUGUGAAAGCCCUGGGCUCAACCUGGGAAUGGCAUUUGAUACUGGAUAGCUAGAGUAUGGUAGAGGUGAGUGGAAUUUCAGGUGUAGCGGUGAAAUGCGUAGAUAUCAGGAGGAAUACCAGUGGCGAAGGCGACCCCCUGGGCCAAUACUGACGCUGAGGUACGAAAGCGUGGGUAGCGAACAGG
rnacentral:rRNA from 1 species